GGCUCCUGCACAGAAGAAGCAUCCCCAAGUGGGGCUGCAUAGAGGCAAUGGGGCAAAGCACCUUCUGUGGCCUGCUCACUCCAGGGAGGGACAGUCACGCCCUGCUGGGAGCACCUGAUUCUGUGUCUGACUGCACCUCAUCCCUAACUAUGCCUGGUUCUUAUCUUGACAGGUCUUACCACAGAUCAGGAACACUGACAUCAACCCCAGGGCCCCUGUCUGUGUCAGCUGGGGAGAAGACCCACAGCCCACUGAAUCUUAUCUUCUUGGAGGCAGGGCCGCCCCACUGGCAGGAAUUCUGCCUCUGCAGAUGGCUCCUCAGCAGAAAGUCUGAUCUGGACAGAAACCCUGGCAAAGGACUUCAUUUUGGUGCCAAGAUGCAUUUUUGCACCUUCACCAUAUACUUCAUGUAGCUUUAAGGUUGUCAAGAGAGCUGCGAAUCCAAAGAAGAAGCUACAGACUUCCCACCAUCUUACAUUUGACUUGAUAACCCAGACGCCCAGUGCGCAGCACAGCCCUGCUGAAGGCCUGCUGUCCACCCCAGCGUCCCGGGCAGGACUGGACUGGCUGGGUCCCCGGUGAUCUCUGGCGAGGCUCUGGGCCCGCCCUGCACUGACCAGGACAGACCUUGGGCACCUCCCAUAGCCCACACGGUGGGUUACUCGCAAGCUCGGACUGCCCCCUGCUGGAUAUAGAGAUGAAAACCAAUACAAGCGUGGAGGCUUUACUAUGGACA
rnacentral:lncRNA from 1 species